rnacentral:lncRNA from 1 species
GCCUUAUUGAAGAUGGAAGCAGAGAUUGGAGUGAUGCAUCUCUAGGCCAAGGGACACCAAGGAUUGCUGAUUGCUGGUAACACUAGAAACUAUAAAAGGCAGGAAAUGAUCCCUCCCUAGAGCAUUCAGAGACAGUACAGCCCUGCUGACACCCUGAUUUAAGAUUCAGAUUUCUUGCCUCCAUAAGUGUGAGAUAAUAAAUUUCUGUUGUUAUAAGUCACCAAGUUUGUGAGUAUUUCUUUUUUUUUUUUUUUUUUUUUUUGACAGCCCUGGGAAACUAAUGCACAGCUUCCUUCAGGAAGUGACAUCUAAGCCAACCUCUGGAAAAGGAAUAUAUUGGAAGUGGAUUCUGAGACAAUUUAGUGGGCAGAAUGUUUAUUAGAGAGAACCAUUAGGAGCUACAUUUGUGAAAGGAAGGGGAAGAAAUAGUAUUCAGCAGAGGGAGAAGUCAAACUGUGAUGCCAGCCUCAGGGGACCCCGUGGGGAGCUCUGCAGCUACAAUGGUCCAUUCAAGUUGCUGGAAGACACUCCACUCAGUCGUUGGAUGUGGGUCUCUACAAGAAGGGAAAUGUCUGCUACAGACACAGACUGAAGUGGCGUAUAUCGUGCUGAUUCAGAAGAGAAUGAAGGCAUUUGUCAAGAGAUAA